rnacentral:rRNA from 1 species
UCAGUGGAAUUACCCACUGAACUUAAGCAUAUCAAUAAGUGGAGGAAAAGAAACUAACAAGGAUUCCCCUAGUAACGGCGAGUGAAGAGGGAUCAGCCCAAAUUUGUAAUCUGGCUCUUUCAGGGUCUGAGUUGUAAUUUUGAGAACUGUUUUCUGCUCUGGACCAUGUACAAGUCUGUUGAAAUGCAGCAUCAUUGAGGGUGAGAAUCCUGUUCAUGAUAUGGACUACCAGGGCUUUAUGAUACAGUCUCUAAGAGUCGAGUUGUUUGGGAAUGCAGCUCAAAGUGGGUGGUAAAUUCCAUCUAAGGCUAAAUAUUGGUGAGAGACCGAUAGCAAACAAGUACCGUGAGGGAAAGAUGAAAAGAACUUUGGAAAGAGAGUUAACAGUACGUGAAAUUGUUAAAAGGGAAACAGUUGAAGUUAGACUUGUUGUUGUUGGUUCAGCUCUUUAAGGGUGUUUUCUGAUAAAUAACAAACCAACAUCAAUCUUUGGGUAUUGGAGAAGGGUUGUUGAAAUGUAGCAGUUUUGGCUGUGUUAUAUUCUUUGACGCAGAUACAGUGCCUGGGAUUGAGGAUUGCAGUAAGCCAUUUAUUUGGUGGGACAAUUUUAUUGAUGUUCUUCUUACUGAGGAUGUUGGUGCAAUAGCUUAAAAAAUGGACCCAGCAU